AGAUGAAUCAACAUUAAUAAUGAACAUCAUCAGGUUGACUCUGUCUGUCCUGAUGCUGAUUCCUCUGCUUCUCUUGACUCUGUGGAGCAGGAAGAAGAAAACUCUGAGCUCCACCUGUGAACCGAAUGAACGUGUGGAGGUGAUAGAGCUUGACUCUGGUUCUGGGUAUGAGGACGUCUCAGCCGUCCCUGCAGCACAGAGGGAAGACGCAGAGGAGCAGGAAGACCUGGUGUGAAGUCCAGAGAGAUGCAGGGCUCGGUGUGGAGAGCGAGGAUGGGGUCAAGUUUUCAGCAGCACAGGAACCAGACGCACAACUGUUAACAAAGACCUGUUGAUAGUC